UUCCGAAACUAAAGAUGAAACAAAUCAGGUAAGCAUCUCUAACUCGAAAGACAUUCAUGCUAUAUCUAAAAAACAAUUGAUGACCAUGAUGAGUGAAAUGGAAUAAAUGAGUGCUAGAAAUGAUAAGUUAAUAAGCAACCUUUCAUGUGUCAAACUUGAUCUCAAAGAACUUGAAUUUGACAAAGCUAAUCUACAAAGAAAGGUCAAAGACCGUAAGAAGUAGGUUCUUGAGCUCACACUAAAAAUGAGAAGUCACAUGAUAUACAUGGUAAGGAAAAAAUGAGUGAUCUACAAGAUAAACUUGAAAAGGAAUUAAAAAGGACUAAAGGUAAUCAUUGUGAUGCUGAAUGUAGGAAUAAAGUCCUGCAGGAAAAUCUAGAAAAGAUUAAUUAUGAACAAUCUUGACUAAGAAAAUGGCAUAUGUCCUUAUACGCCUUGAAUUGGCUAAAUUAUAACUACAUCUCUAACAAAUCAGGAAUUAUCUACAGAAACCUGCUCCCAAGUUUGAUCCAAAGUAUGUAGAAAUUUCUGAUAACUAUUCAUUCAUUAUAGAAAGGUAGUACACUUUAGAGAUACUUGCCCUGCCUUAAUUCAUACUCAGUGUAAAAACACCUUUGGUCUUGAUAAAAACACCUUUCGUGGGAAGACACAUGUUGAAUUUCACAUAUAUUUUGAACUGCAAAUAUAAUUCCAUCAUGAUAACAAAGAUUUUGUACCAAUUGUUUCCCGUUUAAGAUCAAAGAUACAGAAAUCAAAGCUUGUGCCUAUAUCAUGAUUCCUAGCCCAACAACUUCAACCAAAGCCACACGACUCAAAAUUUUCUCAAAAUUUGAAUGUAAAGAUUUAAUCUAAUUCUUAUCCAAAAGACUAGCAUUAUUUCAAGUAAAUGACCUUGCUGAAAUGGAUUUGAGCCAUAUAACUAAUCCCAGAAUUUUGAAGAAGAAAACCCAUGCGUACUGAUUUUAUUCCAAAAAAAACCAACAUAAGCUAAACACCAAGAUGACUGCAAAUGAACUAUUGACCUGGAAAUGCAUCAAUUAAACAUUUAAGUGAAAUGAUUUCAAAUAGCACAACACAACCACUGGUAGGCGUCUCCAUUGAGAAUUUCCAAUCUUUCACCUGUGCUCGGUGUUUCAGCAAGUUCUGGCAGGGAUUAACACUAAAACACACACUGAUUUCAGCAGAAACCAACAACUAUUUACUACAUUAACGUUAGUAGUACCUUUGUACAAACACCAAACUCAAACUCAUUUAAACUAACCAGCAAAAGUUAAUAAUUUAGCUAUCAAUACAACCCAGAAUUUAAACUAAAUAGAUGAAAUCGAUUGUAACAAAACAACAAAUGACAUAAAUUGCAAGCUCAUUCAAAUAACUUCAUGUUCUUCCAUUUCUCAUGUCAAGAGGUUGAAGAAUACCUGGUUACAACAGCAAAACAAACAAAAAUGAGCUGGGAGCUAACAGUAAGCAGCAGCAGUAGUAAGCUCAAAUAAAAACGAAAGCCACAGCAGGAUCAGCUCGCAAAUUUACAAGCUAAACAUAUUUCUAACCCAGAGAAGUGUAUGGUAACCCAUAAUAACACGUUCAAAUGAUUGAUCCCUCCCCAGAACCUUGGGCCAGAUCUACAUACUCAAUCCCAAUCCAUUUCAAACCCAAAGCAAAAUAGAAACUGAUGCAGAUAAUGAAUCUUUAAGAUCCUAAAAUAUUAUUCAAUGGAACAGUUCUUCACUCAAGUUCUCAGCAACUUUGUUUUUGUAUUUUUUAUUUUUCCCCAUUCACUUCUCUAUGAAACAGUAAAUUCUGUGCAGUUUCUAUGCUAUCGAUUUUUCAGCUUCUUUUUAUUAGAAUGUCCCGCUGCCUUUCAAGGCAAGAAAACAUGCUUUUAUAGGCAAGGCAAGUAGGGCAGCCUUCAGAUUUUUAAUUUAUAUUAUCAGUCUCUACUUAUUUACAGCUUGGUCCCAUAAUUGUAACUUGCUCACCAAAUAAAUACUUUUAAAAAUUGAAAUAUGUACUUGUACCCCACUCUAGAAGCCUCUAGGAUACUCCUUUGGCUAUAAAAUUCCUAAAUUACCCUUCCCCUGUUUUAAAUUUACUAUUUUGAAAGAUUCUGCCAUUUUCUAUGCCUAAACUGCCCCUCUAACAGCCCCAAAAUUACAUCUCAUACUAACUCACCCAACCCCUUAACCCCUAGUUAAGAACAUGACUGCAAUUACCUAACAAAAGAACUUCUUGAUAUAACCAAUCCUAUUAGCCUGCAGAUUAACGUUAACUCUUGGAGAAAUUACUAGCUAAAAUUUAAAGCACCCUUAAGGAACUGAAAUUACCUAAAACGCUUGAGGACUGAAAUUUAGUCCACACUAAACUAAUUAGAAACUAAACUAAAUAACUAAGAAGAUUUAAUAAAAUGAAUCAAAAGAGGAGAUGAAGAGCAGUUAAUAUUCAGAAAAAUCAAAACUGAAAACAUAAAAUAAUCUAUACUAACGGAAAUAAAGCUUAGCUAAUAAUAAUUAUGAGACGACGAAAAGAGUAGAAUCAGAACUUUAUCAAUCAAACAUGAAACAAGGGAUAAGAAACCAAAAAAAAUUACCUAACUAAUCAUAUGAUUAUCCUUCAAAUUAAUUAUCAUAAGAGAAAUGAGAGGAACAAAUAAGCAAAGAAACUAAAAAUUUAAUAAGGGAAACUCACCCCGAACUCUGCCCGGAACAAACUUGCAACGGAGUCGACACUCCGUUAAUGUUAUAUGCUCAUUCAAACUAGAAUAACCAAAUAACAUUAAUAGGGAAGACGAUUCGACUUCAAAUCUUCAAAAUAAAUCCGAAAUUGGCGAACCAUAGCCCUUCCCAUUCGAUGAAUUUCAGAGAGUUUUGAGGGGUUUUAAGCACAUAUUUAUGGUGGAGGAGGUCCGACGAACCAUUGGUAGCAAAUUUGUAAAGUUCGGGGCAGAUUAGGGUUUUAGCCGAUUUUUAGAUUUGAAUUUACAGAAAUUUGGCUGGGUUUUGGAAGAAAGCAAUGGGGGGAAUGGAACGAGGGUGAGGAGAGGAGUAUAUUGUAGAGUUUUGGAGUCGAUUGGAGCUCCGCCAUCCGCCAUCGGCGGAGAAGAUUUCUGGCGGCGUCAAUGGUUGACUAACAAUGAAGGGGUUAGAUGAAGAAGAUGGUACGAGGAAGUGAGGUCU
rnacentral:lncRNA from 1 species